rnacentral:tRNA from 1 species
AAUAAUGUGCCUGAUAAAAGGGUUAUCUUGAUGAGAUAAAUAAUGUAUGAUCCAUUAUUA